rnacentral:lncRNA from 1 species
UUUGUUUUUCUAUUGUUAUUACACUUAGUUGCUUAUAUUGGCUGGCACUCUUAUUAAAAUAAGUUAUGAAAAAGAAAAGCUUUACUCCGGCUUUGUGUAAACAUGUAUCGAGAUAAAUUCAUAAAUGAAAAACACUCGCCAUUUUAAUUACCUUAUUUCCUCAUGAGAUUCGUAGGUUUCCCGAGGGAGACAAAUAUGUAGUAUCUAACCAGCCCUUAGCCUCAUCACCAAGAAGCCUGAAUGGCACUGGAUAUGGAACCUUAAACGGUCAGAAUUUGAAAGAAAACGCUGCUCUAUCAAAUUGAAAAAGAAUCCGUUUCCCAUCCUUAAUUGAUGCUGCUGCCUGGAUCGAGAGGAUGAAAUUAAAUAACCAAAUCAUAAUUGAAACCAACAGUGUGACAAGAAGUCAAUAGAAGUCAGAAACAGUUGAUUUUAAGAAGUUCUACCUCUACUUUCAGCUCACCAAUAGUAUCGGAAAACUUCACAAUGUUAGACACUCAGAGGAUUAUUUGUUCGGAGGAACACGUCUCUGUACAGGGUAUCUUGAUCACAGAAAGCGAACAAGUCCAAAGGUGGCUAACCUGAAUUGGAAAUGCUGUUCCUGGCCUUGUGGCGAACAUCAGUUGCCACCUACCCUCAAUUAGAGUAGAGUCUGUCUGGCAUUAUAUAUGAGACGUUCAGGUAAGAGCAUUAUCUUUCCUUGUGCAACUUACUGACGAAUGGGACUCCGAUAAAAUUAAAUUGAAGUGUCAAUAAAGUUAAAUCGAAGGGUCAGUUACAGCUACUCCAAUUAGUGAAAUUAGUGUAUGUUUCACAUAUAAAUUUAGGAAGCUAAACAAAACGCUUAUUUAAGCUUUAAAAAUAAAGGAAAAAGCAAAAGCUAUAGACCAGGAUUUUCUGGACCAAUUAACAACAGAACUGAAUCCAACAAGACUAUAGAAACUACAGCAAGAAUAAAUGCUUGAAGCAAAUUACAGAAAAUUGACUGACUGAAUUAGCUUCCAAAUUGUAAUAUGUUAGUCAAAGUGUCAGGACAGUAUAAUUACAGUGAAUAUGAGCUUUCAACCUGUACUAAUAAGUUAACAAUUACCUAGUCCAGUAACGAAAAAUUUUCCAAGCUAGUUUUACCGAGAAUCAACUAAUUCUUUUCAAGAUGACAUUAUAUAUAUAUACAUAUAUAUACAUAUGUAUUUGUGUCCAGAGUUUGACUCAGUCAAAGUGAAAUAUCUUUUCGUCAGACUUCUUUUUUAUCUAUAAAAAUUCCUCGGGAGCAGGAAUAUUACUUCAACUCUAUGAUAGGUCCCAGUCAUAACCAACCAGAUAAAUGGUGUUUAAUUUCUAUUUUAGGCUAGAACUACCUCAGUAUUUUAAACCAAAUGAGACUUGCUUUUAUUCAUGAGCUCGGAAGCUUAUAUAGGCAAUCUCCAGCAACUUCUUCCUGCUAUUCAGGAAGCAUAACGGCUAGGUGAUAUGGAUAAAAUCGGAAACAACCGAAAGAAAGCAACAGAAAGGAAAGAUAAACAUGAUCAACAAGUUUAGAAGAAAUGGAAAGCUUGACCGAGUCUGCCGGUGUGGUUGCUCCUGCUUUCCUCAUAGAUACUGCGAUUCUGGAUUGGCUUCCUUCGUGAUUUCUGGAUUUAUCACUGUAACCUAGCUAAAGAGAAGAAAUCUUGUACAAACACAAGAUAGCACAAAAAACUCAAAAAAUUACUCACAGGAUUUACCAUUCCUUGCAAAUCUUCUAAAACCUUAACGGCACGCUCAACAUCCUGAAAAACUUCCCAUCGGAUCCAGACAACCACAUAACAAGUUCCAAAACCAGACAUUAGAAGAUACAAACGAAAAGUGAAAAUCAUAAAAAAGGAAUUCACUACAAAGAAAUGAUGAAAUAUUUAUUUACAUUGAGUUGCCGAGAAGAAGUCGAUCGGCCGCGGGAUAAGAGCUCCGAUGAGCUGAGUUUCAGGUUCCGCGAAUGAAACCUUUUGCUACUCACCGACUAGAGACGAGCAAUGAGCGUGGAGACUUUACCAACUUCGACAAGGUUUUUUCCGUAGCUUUUGAUGUCUAAAAGCAAAGAUUCCGGAACUCGUUAAUGGCGAUUUUGGAAUUAAACGGAUUGGUAACGUGUUUGCAUUGUUGAAUUCAAGCGCCAUUGUCGAAGAAGAAGAAGACGACUAUGAGAGUGAUUUUUAGUUUUGCUCUGUUGAUAUAUUUUCUCAUUUUCCUGUUAAAGCGAGGUGUUGUUUUGUGUGCGGUAUAGGCAGUUAAUGGGGACACUCCCACAUCUAUGUAUCAGUGCACGUGGAAUCGUCUUGUUCGGACACGUGCAUUCCUAGGAUUGGUUGAAACCAGAUUCUGUUUGUACUGCGCAUACUGGAUUCAUACCUAGAACCGAAUUGGGCCAAAUAUUGGUUAUCGGUCCAUUCAGGUAUAUUAGGCCCAAACACUACCCAACUCACGGCCCAAACUCGGCCCAACACGGCCCAACUCAGGUGAUAAAUGUAUUAAUAAACGUGGAAUCGUCUUGUUCACACACGUGGAUGGCUAGGAUUGGUUGAAACCAGGUUCUGUUUAUUGUGGAUAUACUGGAUUCAUAACUAGAACCGAAUUGGGCCAAACAUUAGUUUUCGGCCCAUUCAGGUAUACUAGGCUCAAACACGGCCCAACUCAGGCCCAACUUACAGCCAAAACACGGCCCAACUAAGGCACAACUCAGCCCACAGCCCAACUCACGGCCCAUUAAUAUAUAUUAGGCCCAAACACGGCCCAAUUACGGCCCAACUCAGGUGAUAUAAAAUUAACAAAAGGCCUUAUAUAGUAAUAUAUAUAUAUAUAUAUAUAACAAUUAUCUGCUUCUGCUCCCUUCUAUGUUAAAAGAGUUCGUAUUGUGUGCAAAGUUGGACUAAAGAUAUAAAUAUGACAUAACAUGCAACUAUAUAUAUAUAUAUAUUGAAAAUUAUUUCAAUAUAUAUAUAUUUAUUGAAAAUUUGUUAAAAAGAAUACGGAAUCUGUCACUUGGAAAUUCAUGUGUUCUUUAAACGCUAUCCCAAUUAAAUAAAAUAUAUAUAUAUAUAUAUAUAUAUCGUUUAAAAUAGUUCGCACAUUAAAAUUAGUUUGUGAAUUUGACCGUACUCUUCACAGCAAGAACGCAUUUAGCAUUAGCUACAACAUUAUACAUCCAAAGAAGAAGAGAGAGUGCUUAAAAAAGAUUGGAUUUCUAUUUCCCUGACCCAUCUGUCCGUAGGUGCACAAACAAGAUAUUAUUAUAGCCACGACUAAUUCGUAUCUUCUCAUCACUGUACCUGCGCAAUGUAACAUCCAUAUUCAACAAGGUACCGACAGACUUCCUCAACAACAUGUGCGAAACAAACUAAUGAAAUGAUUAAACUUACAGAAGCUCCAGCUUAAUCUUGGUUUCCAUUUCAAUUUCGUAUCCGAAUGGACCCACGAUUAUCGCUGCGUCAUCCAUUGUAAGCUCAUAGGUUGUCGCUCCAGAUUUCCUGCAAAUUAUUUGUUACGUGAACUUACGUUUUCGUACAUUUUAUGGAAAUUUAAGAAAAAUAAAUCACAGUUUGAAAUUGUUACCGAUGUGCUAUUUUCUUAUAAUAUAGUUGUUCUAUUUUUUUGUUGUUUUACAUAGAGUUAUUAUUUUCUAAGUGAUAACUCUAUAAUUUUUUUUCUUGGUCAUUUUUAGAACACGUGCUCUAAAAACUAUAACAAUCAUAGAAAAAACAGCAAAAUUCAAAAAAUAUGCUGGACUGUUAAGAAGGAAAAGAAACUAAAUAACUUAAACUGCAAUAAAAUUGGGCAACAAAAAAUUUCUGCUGGUGUUAUUCAUGCAAGAGUAAUCGAAUCAACGAGCCAUUAGUAUUGCUUUGGAGUGCGUAGGGAAUAUGUGAUACUUACACAAACUUGCCAAUCAUUGAGAAUCUUAUCCCUGGUAAGAUGUUGACUACAAACUUCAGCUGUCCGUUGUCCUUGACAAUCUAAAUCAGAUACAAUUGAGAGAGUAACAAAGUGAAUUGGAGAAACCCUGAGAAACUAGGUAAGUUUUAUCCCACAAAAUAUUUGAAAUUUGGCAGACUGAUUAUGUGUCUGUGUGUGUAAAUAUACUCUCUGGUAAUAGUAUAUGAGAAAUGUACUUACCUGCAAUCCCAUAAGACCAUUACCAGCAUUCUCUAUCCAACUGUCUGUCUCUGUCUGUUACGGUUAACUCAUUCAGUUGAGAUGAAAUAUGUUAGGUAUUUGCAUUCAUUAUUUUACAUUCAUUUAUGUUAGAUUUAUAAGCUUACACCUUAACCUCUUUUUUUCAGGCUAUAAUCAGAAAUUAACAUUCAAUUUAAUUGGAGUGACGAGGAAGCUAUUUUGAAAAAUUAUAAAAAGUAGUUUCAUGAGAAACGUAAAGUUAAAACUACAUUUUUUCAGUUUCAUCAAUUUUGGUUGCUUUUAGAAUGUGUUAUUUCAGUUCUGGGAAAUUUUCUUAGCUUCUUUUGACUAAAUUAAGUAUAGAUUUUUUCGAAUUCUAAAUAAAGUAUUUUUAUGGCUUAAACAUAGGCUACGUGGAUGUUAGUAUGAUCAUUAAUAAAUCACCUGUGAACUCCAUAUCAUCUGCCAUUCUCCCUCUAAUAGCUUUGGUUCCUCAUUGCCGCUUUCACUUCGAAGUGAUAUGAACUCACCAAUUGCCUGCAAAAUAAAUAUUAUUACUUAUUAUGGCUUGUCAAGAAUAAUCCAACAGAAGCAAAAUUUGCAAGAGGACACCAAUUGCUUUAACUUCAAAGUUUCACCUCUUCAACUCCUGCUCCUGUCGAAAUUGCUGUCAACAGUCUUUGCCUUGGUUCACUUGCCUUUUGCAGCACAAAUGUGGUUCCCUGCACUACAAAACAUUGCAAGUAUCCUUUGGAUAUCAAAUAGCAAGGCAACGGGAAUUGCAUGUACACCAGAAUCUGGAUGAACUUUUUAAAAAAAGGUUUAAGUAAGAAACUAUCAAAUUUAUUAUUUAUUUUGUAUCUUAAGAAAACAUAUGUAUGCUUAAGAUUUGCUCCCUAUUGUGUAAACCUGUAUCAAGAUAAGUUCCUAAAUGAAAAUAACAAGUGCCAUUUUAAUUACCUUAUUUCCUCGUGAGAUUCGUAGGUUUCCUGAGGGGGACAAAUAUGUAGUAUCUAACCAGCCCUUUGCCUCAUCACCAAGAAGCCUAAAUGGCACUGG